UACGUAGGGUGCAAGCGUUGUUCGGAAUCAUUGGGCGUAAAGCGCGUGUAGGUGGUUAGUUAAGUCGGGUGUGAAAUCCCUGGGCUCAACCGAGGAAGUGCAUCCGAAACUAAUUAGCUAGAGGACGGUAGAGGAAGGUGGAAUUCCAAGUGUAGAGGUGAAAUUCGUAGAUAUUUGGAGGAAUACCGGUGGCGAAGGCGGCCUUCUGGGCCGUUCCUGACACUGAGACGCGAAAGCGUGGGUAGCAAACAGG
rnacentral:rRNA from 1 species